rnacentral:rRNA from 1 species
GUCUACGGCCAUAUAACCCUGAACGUGCCUGAUCUCGUCUGAUCUCGGAAGCUAAGCAGGGUCGGGCCUGGUUAGUACUUGAAUGGGGGGAAGAAAACAGACCUCUGACC